GUUUUCGGGAUUUUUCUUCAAGCGUCUAAUUAACCAAGGUUACCUAACCUUUCCUUACAUUUGCUUUUGACAGUUAUUGAAUUUUAUUUUAAAGGAAAAUGAGGCUGCCUAGAAAGAAUGUUGUGUAUGAUAUAGCACAUAAAAGCACUGUAAUAGGAUUAGUUGGUACCAUGUUAUAUUCUAUGUCCGUAUUAGCUUUCAAAAUGUACGAGAUCUCUUAUAUUACUCCUCCAAUGAAGAAUGAGAUAAUAAAUCUGGUGAAGGAACAGGAAAUGAGAGACGCUCAGGCAUUGCACGAGAGAGAACUGAUGGGACAUUCAAAAUAAACCAUGUCAACAUCAUAGAUAGACUUUCAUAUUUGAUGGUUUCAUAUUCACAUGUGCAUUAUAAUGUUAUUUGUUGAUGGGUAAUUAAGUACCGGUAUACUGACAUGACUGAAAACAUACGAAUUUAGUUAUUUAAGUUGAUAUAUAUGUAUAUGUGAUACAUCACAAUUUAUGAAGUGAGCAAAAAAAGGUUUUAGGAAUUUGCUGAUUUAAGGGUUCUCAUUAAGGAUUUUUUUCUCAUGAGCCCAGGUACAUAUCUCUGGGAAAGUCAAGUUAAAAAAUUGAAGAAAAAACUAUAUAACAGUCUUGAUUCAUAUUUAAAAGUCUUCAGGUCAAAACAAAAUGACAAAAAAACUUAAGAUUUACAUAUUAUAUCAACUUCUGUAAUAAAACUGAGUAAACUUGAUGCAACCGAUAGAUUCUGAAUGCAUUUUUAAACUCAACUAUUCUCAAAAACCAAGUCUGAAUUUAUUUACUAUUCUAAAUAGUAUGAACCCUAUUUUUUGAGCACCAGGUUUUGUUCAGCUUCUUACUUUUCUUACUAAAUAAUUACACUUACAAUUAUCCGAAAAUAAAUCCAGUAAUGUUUUGGAGUAGCUAUUUCAGCAGUCAUGAAUAAUGAUUUGAUAUAUUCUGAUUAGCUCAAGAUUGUUUUGUGACUUUCAGAGAUUUGUGUAUGUGUAUAAUUUUUUUAUGUUGUACAUCAAAGAAACAGUUUUGAUUUUAUCAAUCAUGCAUCAUGAAUUGAUUUAUGUGUGUUCUGAAUUGCUAUAUAUCAUAUAUAAAAGACAGAUUUGUUGAUAUAUAUAAUUUCUUGAGAAGUGUGUAAAGAGGUGUGAAUGGUCAUUGAAAGUUUUUACCUAUUUAAACAUGUUUGUAAAUAAAGAAUUUUAAAUUA